GUCUGCGGCCAUACCACCGAGUGCACCCAAUCUCAUCUGAUCACAGAAGCUAAGCUGGAUCUGGCCUGGUCAGUACUUGGAUGCAAGAACUCACUAACCGGGAGACCGAGGAAAGCAACCC
rnacentral:rRNA from 1 species